GAAAAAAAGCUGUGUUUGAAAUUCAAGUCAUGUUGCUUAUGGAAAGCUUAUUGAAUGCCUUGGUUCCUUUUAUUUGUAUUUUUUUGGCCAAGAUUAAAGAUGAAUGCAAAGAUGAAUUUCAUCAAUAUUUGAAACCAUACUUUUUUGUAAGGACAGGAUGAAGAGUGAUGAUUGUUACUCAAAAAUUAAUACUCAAUUUCAAUGUAGUCAUGGUUUAAGGUACGCAAAGAUUGACAAAUUUGUGGGAUCCUCCAAAUCAAGGCAUUUGUUGCUGAACCAGAAAGAAAUUUCAGAAUGAUUUAUUCGAUAUUGGUCUCACUCGCUAUGAGGCAGAGCACCAAAGUGGCAUUCUUCUCAGCAUAUUCAACGAUCUUGCGCUGAUCGUUAUUCAUAAUAGAAUAAUGAUUUAUCUACUCACAUAAAGAAGCAUGGUCGAAGACAUGCUCCUGAUGGUAUGGUAGAAGAAAAAUGGAAGAAGGCGAUCGAGUAUUUUGAUCGGCCUAAAGUGAAGAGGUGCUCUUAGAUUAAUGCUGCGAAUCGAGCCAAACAAAAAAAAAAUAGCUUCCAGGGUUCGCAGUCUACUCCAGCUAUUUGUUAUAAGAUGGUAUUUUUUAUUUUGUUAACUUUAAAAAAAUUUCAUAUAUUUUUAUCAACUUUUUCAAUUUUUUUGUAUUUUAGAGCGAUAUACAAACUGGUCAUCUCUCAGGCGUUCUAGAAAACUUGGAUGGAUACAAAAUAUUAAGAAGGGAGAGGUUGGGUCAGUCAAGUAGUGCGUGAUAACUAUGAAAAGUUGAUGAAGGUACGUCACACUCAAUAGACACAAUCUUCUAUGACCACCUCUAGUGUGAGUACUGCCACAAUAGAGAAGGACGACAUCGCCCUUGUUGAGACAGCCUUUGGAUGCCGUCGGGGCCAUCAGAUAGGACUUGGUCGCAGGAUUCGCUCGAGGGUGGAACGUGAAGUGACUGACACACUUCCACCACUGUCACCGUCCCCUAUUGCACAAGAGAUGCGGGAUGUGGUCCGGCGUCUCCGAAUCAUUGAGGAGUUAAUGGCUAGGCUUGGUGGAGCCUCCGGAUCUGGAUCUUCUCAGCCAUGUGAUGGUCAGGAUCAAACAACUCCUAGUCAAUAAGAUUACUUUAUGUAUUUUGACUGUUGGAGAACAUUAUUUAUGACUUUAUACUUUAUGUAAUUUGACUUUAGGACAAUAUU